rnacentral:ribozyme from 10 species
GAAAUUUUAAAGGGGGGAAAAAGAAAACACUCAGAAAAGGAUCGGGAAAAUGUGUGAAUGUUUUUAAUCCUGGAACUUUUAUUUGUAUACGUUGUUUAAUUUUCGGUUACUA